GAUGAACGCUAGCGGCGGGCCUAAUACAUGCAAGUCGAACGGGAAAGGUGGCAACACCUUGAGAGUGGCGUACGGGUGCGUAACGCGUAUACAACCUGCCUGUUACACGGGGAUAGCCUUGCGAAAGCGAGAUUAAUACCCGAUGGUACUAUUGAGCGGCAUCGCUUGGUAGUUAAAGCUGAGGCGGUAACAGAGGGGUAUGCGUCCCAUUAGCUAGUUGGUAGUGUAACGGACUACCAAGGCGACGAUGGGUAGGGGUUCUGAGAGGAUGAUCCCCCACACUGGUACUGAGAUACGGACCAGACUCCUACGGGAGGCAGCAGUAGGGAAUAUUGGGCAAUGGACGGAAGUCUGACCCAGCCACGCCGCGUGCAGGAAGAAGGUCCUCUGGAUUGGAAACUGCUUUUCUUGGGGAAGAAAACCCUUCGGCGGAAGGAAUUGACGGUACUCAAGGAAUAAGCAUCGGCUAACUCCGUG
rnacentral:rRNA from 1 species